AGUCAAGCAGCCGUUAUAAUCACCGGCGUGAUUAAAAUACUAUUAAACUGAAGUUCAAGUACUGGGCAUAUCCCUCCAUCACCUCAGAGUGGAUAAAAUACGAGCAGCUUUCAGGGGACACUCACUCUUCGAGAGGAUACUCGGGUGUACAGCUUUCAUACGUGAAAUGCACAUUGUAACACUACAAGCUGCACAAUAGCAGGUGAGAAAGAGCACAACAUCUGGAGAGGGAAGGGACAUUAACACCCGUAUGCAAAUGUGUUACUAGGUGUUCCCAGCUUUCUCCGUUUAGAGAUAAUUAUGUAAUUGCUGUUAACAUUGGAUCAACAUCAGCACAUUUUUUUCAAUCCAUUCUCUUUGACACCUUC